rnacentral:rRNA from 1 species
CGUGCGAUACAGGGUGACAGCCCCGUACACAAAAAUGCACAUACUGUGAGCUCGAUGAGUAGGGCGGGACACGUGGUAUCCUGUCUGAAUAUGGGGGGACCAUCCUCCAAGGCUAAAUACUCCUGACUGACCGAUAGUGAACCAGUACCGUGAGGGAAAGGCGAAAAGAACCCCGGCGAGGGGAGUGAAAAAGAACCUGAAACCGUGUACGUACAAGCAGUGGGAGCACGCUUAGGCGUGUGACUGCGUACCUUUUGUAUAAUGGGUCAGCGACUUAUAUUCUGUAGCAAGGUUAACCGAAUAGGGGAGCCGAAGGGAAACCGAGUCUUAACUGGGCGUUAAGUUGCAGGGUAUAGACCCGAAACCCGGUGAUCUAGCCAUGGGCAGGUUGAAGGUUGGGUAACACUAACUGGAGGACCGAACCGACUAAUGUUGAAAAAUUAGCGGAUGACUUGUGGCUGGGGGUGAAAGGCCAAUCAAACCGGGAGAUAGCUGGUUCUCCCCGAAAGCUAUUUAGGUAGCGCCUCGUGAAUUCAUCUCCGGGGGUAGAGCACUGUUUCGGCAAGGGGGUCAUCCCGACUUACCAACCCGAUGCAAACUGCGAAUACCGGAGAAUGUUAUCACGGGAGACACACGGCGGGUGCUAACGUCCGUCGUGAAGAGGGAAACAACCCAGACCGCCAGCUAAGGUCCCAAAGUCAUGGUUAAGUGGGAAACGAUGUGGGAAGGCCCAGACAGCCAGGAUGUUGGCUUAGAAGCAGCCAUCAUUUAAAGAAAGCGUAAUAGCUCACUGGUCGAGUCGGCCUGCGCGGAAGAUGUAACGGGGCUAAACCAUGCACCGAAGCUGCGGCAGCGACGCUUAUGCGUUGUUGGGUAGGGGAGCGUUCUGUAAGCCUGUGAAGGUGUGCUGUGAGGUAUGCUGGAGGUAUCAGAAGUGCGAAUGCUGACAUAAGUAACGAUAAAGCGGGUGAAAAGCCCGCUCGCCGGAAGACCAAGGGUUCCUGUCCAACGUUAAUCGGGGCAGGGUGAGUCGACCCCUAAGGCGAGGCCGAAAGGCGUAGUCGAUGGGAAACAGGUUAAUAUUCCUGUACUUGGUGUUACUGCGAAGGGGGGACGGAGAAGGCUAUGUUGGCCGGGCGACGGUUGUCCCGGUUUAAGCGUGUAGGCUGGUUUUCCAGGCAAAUCCGGAAAAUCAAGGCCGAGGCGUGAUGACGAGGCACUACGGUGCUGAAGCAACAAAUGCCCUGCUUCCAGGAAAAGCCUCUAAGCAUCAGGUAACAUCAAAUCGUACCCCAAACCGACACAGGUGGUCAGGUAGAGAAUACCAAGGCGCUUGAGAGAACUCGGGUGAAGGAACUAGGCAAAAUGGUGCCGUAACUUCGGGAGAAGGCACGCUGAUACGUAGGUGAAGCGACUUGCUCGUGGAGCUGAAAUCAGUCGAAGAUACCAGCUGGCUGCAACUGUUUAUUAAAAACACAGCACUGUGCAAACACGAAAGUGGACGUAUACGGUGUGACGCCUGCCCGGUGCCGGAAGGUUAAUUGAUGGGGUUAGCGCAAGCGAAGCUCUUGAUCGAAGCCCCGGUAAACGGCGGCCGUAACUAUAACGGUCCUAAGGUAGCGAAAUUCCUUGUCGGGUAAGUUCCGACCUGCACGAAUGGCGUAAUGAUGGCCAGGCUGUCUCCACCCGAGACUCAGUGAAAUUGAACUCGCUGUGAAGAUGCAGUGUACCCGCGGCAAGACGGAAAGACCCCGUGAACCUUUACUAUAGCUUGACACUGAACAUUGAGCCUUGAUGUGUAGGAUAGGUGGGAGGCUUUGAAGUGUGGACGCCAGUCUGCAUGGAGCCGACCUUGAAAUACCACCCUUUAAUGUUUGAUGUUCUAACGUGGACCCGUGAUCCGGGUUGCGGACAGUGUCUGGUGGGUAGUUUGACUGGGGCGGUCUCCUCCUAAAGAGUAACGGAGGAGCACGAAGGUUGGCUAAUCCUGGUCGGACAUCAGGAGGUUAGUGCAAUGGCAUAAGCCAGCUUGACUGCGAGCGUGACGGCGCGAGCAGGUGCGAAAGCAGGUCAUAGUGAUCCGGUGGUUCUGAAUGGAAGGGCCAUCGCUCAACGGAUAAAAGGUACUCCGGGGAUAACAGGCUGAUACCGCCCAAGAGUUCAUAUCGACGGCGGUGUUUGGCACCUCGAUGUCGGCUCAUCACAUCCUGGGGCUGAAGUAGGUCCCAAGGGUAUGGCUGUUCGCCAUUUAAAGUGGUACGCGAGCUGGGUUUAGAACGUCGUGAGACAGUUCGGUCCCUAUCUGCCGUGGGCGCUGGAGAACUGAGGGGGGCUGCUCCUAGUACGAGAGGACCGGAGUGGACGCAUCACUGGUGUUCGGGUUGUCAUGCCAAUGGCACUGCCCGGUAGCUAAAUGCGGAAGAGAUAAGUGCUGAAAGCAUCUAAGCACGAAACUUGCCCCGAGAUGAGUUCUCCCUGACCCUUUAAGGGUCCUGAAGGAACGUUGAAGACGACGACGUUGAUAGGCCGGGUGUGUAAGCGCAGCGAUGCGUUGAGCUAACCGGUACUAAUGAACCGUGAGGCUUAACCUUACAACGCCGAAG